CUGCUCACUUCGGCAGCACAUACACUAAAAUUGGAACAACGAUAUAGAGAAGAUUAGCAUGGCCCCUGUGCAAGGAUGACAUGCAAAGUCAUGAAGCGUUCCGUAUUAAA